rnacentral:lncRNA from 1 species
GGGUUAUUGAGAGGCUUGCAAGGGAGACACUGUCCUAUAAAAUGCUUGUCCCAGUUUCUGGUCCCCAGUAAAUGUUGGCUAUUGCUUUCAUUCCCUUUUCUCUUUGGGUUAUCCUUCCGGCUUCACUCUCCCACCCACUAUGACUGCAUCUGGGCAUCUGAGUUUUGGCAUUACCCCAUGGGGGCUCUGGCCACCUACAUUCUUGUUCUAUUAGUUCCCAAGAGAGCUGGUUGUUGAAAAAAGCCUGACACCUCCCCCAUCUCUCUCUUGCUUCCCCUUUUGAGAAAAAAAGAAAAAGAAAAGAAAACACAUGAACAGAAUCAUCUCUCACAAGGGCUUCUGGAGACAGCGUGUGAAAAAAAUCAUCUCUCACAACUGCUUCUUUGCUCCUUACUUUUGCAGUAGAAAAUCUGAUUUCUGGAAGGGCCCAGUAACUCAUUGAAGAUUGGUGGCCUGAGGCUUCCACCCCGCAGGGGCACCCACCCCUGAUAUACCAGCACCAGCUCCAUCAGCCCCUGGCUGCAGGUAUGUGUCCCAAUCUCCUCUUCUUUUACAGACACCAGCCAUAUUGGAUUAGGGCUUACCCUAAUGACCUUAUUUUAACUUAAUCAUCUCUUUAAGAACCUCUCUCCAAAUAUAGUCAUAUUCUGAGGUACUGAGGGUUAGGAUUUCAACAUAUGAAUUUGGGGGGACACAAUUAAAACCCUAACAGGAAGUGAGGAGAAUGUAUAAGAGGAAGAUACAAGGUAUCAGGGUGGGAAAGGGGCAAGCAAGUCCUCCCCGAAGAAAUGACAACUCAAUAGAGACUUGAAGCACUAGAAGUUUUCCAGAUUCUAUUACAAAUAAACAUGCACGUGUAUGUUUAUCGCAGCACUAUUCACAACCUUUAAAAACCAGAUCAAACAAGCCUCGCUAGGGUAUAUGAACAUCCCAGGACACUGUGGCACAUGACAGUCGGCUCUGAACUUGGACUUUGCCUUUAUCCCGUCUUCCAUGGGCCUGGCCAAGCUCAUGGUCCCUUCUUCCAUCUUCAAAGCCACAGUGGCCAGUCAAAUCUUUCUCAUGUCCCCUCACUCUGACAUGGAUGCUCCUGCCUCCGUCUUUCAUGUACAAGGACCCCUGUGGUUACAUAAGGUCUCUUCUAUUAGAGAGCAGGGACUUUGUCUUGUUCAUGAUCAUAUCCUCCAUAUCUAGGAUUGUGCCUGACGCAGUUGUAGAUGCACAAAAAAUAUUUGUUGAAUGAACGCAUAAUCAGACGAUGAAACACUUAAUGCUAAACCCCGCAAUGAGUCAGAUGUGAAAGAAUGGUGUUCACGUCUAUUGACUCCCACUCAGGUACUCUAAGGACUAAGUCAGCCAUUCUUAACCCUUUUUGAAAUGCAAGGUAUUGGCAUAUGACAGGUGGUGACCCUGAAGGAUUAUCUGUCCCCUUUGGGUUCAUUUGCACAAUACACACACAAGCCAGUACAACCAACAUCUAUCAGCUCAUGCCCUUCAAAAUUAAUGGAAUCAUUCCAUGAAUGCUUCUGUUAGCAAUGUAGAGAGGAACAGCGUGCGUCCCGUCAGCAAUCCUUCAAUGUCCUGUCCACGCUAUCUGGGUACUUUCUCCAAUGAACCAUGUCCUUUUCCCUUUCACAGCUUAAUUUUUGAGAAAACUGAAAAAUUAUUACCAGUAUAUGGAAAUUUUAAGGCAUUCUUUUUAUGAUGAUUUAAAAAAAACUUAAGCAUGUAAUCUCAUAAUAAUGAUGUAAUUGAUUGUACAGUACAAGCACCUGAAGUGUGGGACCAGCAGUCUGAACCUUAUUUUUCAUUUAAAUCAGGGCAGUUAUCUACUUCUGAGGGUGCUCUUGUCACGUGUAGACAACAGAGUGAUUUGCGCCAUUCCCAACUCUCCCUAGUCGCACUGUGUUUGUUUUGUUGUUGCUCUUUGGGGACUCAUGGCUCUAACUGCAGCUUUCUGCCAGCCUCAUCAGUGCCUCUCAACCUCUUCUGGCUUCUCAGCAUUGUGCAGCCUGUGCUGCAGCCUGUCAUUUGCAAGUCGGUCCCUGUGCUGGGCUGGAAGUGGGUAAUUCUUCCCCACAAUGCCCUGUUUGUCAGUCUUGAGCAUUUAAAGUGCAACGUGGUUGGCAGCAGCAGAUGUGCUGUGUACACCCACUCUGCUCAACCUCAUUAGCUGUCUCGCUGCAAGGCAAAUUGCCGGGGGAAUGCAAGCUCUAGUCCUGCUGCAGAUGCUGAGAGCCGGAUGUUCACUGACAACUCUUCCUAAACAGCAGCUGGUUUCUCCUUCUUUCCUCUUGUGCAUCUUUUGAACUCAGUUUGAGAAACUAACAUUCGUUCAUUGCCUCUACGAACUAUGAAUAUUUAGGAAUAUUCUAAAUGUAUUAAGGCAGAACCACUUAUCAAAUGCGUAUUAUGCAGAAGGUGCAUCCUCUCUACUAUAUUUUAAUCCUCAUUUCAACCUCUGGGA